AGAGUUUGAUCAUGGCUCAGAAUCAACGCUGGCGGCGCGCUUAACACAUGCAAGUCGAACGGGAAAGUGGAGCAAUCCAUGAGUACAGUGGCGUACGGGUGAGUAGCACGUGGGUAAUCUACCUCUUAGUGGGGAAUAACCCUGGGAAACCGGGGCUAAUACCGCAUAAGCCUGAGAAGGGAAAGCAGCAAUGCGCUGAGAGAGGAGCCCGCGGCCGAUUAGCUAGUUGGUAGGGUAAAGGCCUACCAAGGCAGAGAUCGGUAGCCGGCCUGAGAGGGCACACGGCCACACUGGCACUGAAACACGGGCCAGACUCCUACGGGAGGCAGCAGUGGGGAAUCUUGCACAAUGGGGGCAACCCUGAUGCAGCGACGCCGCGUGAGCGAUGAAGCCCUUCGGGGUGUAAAGCUCUUUCGUCAGGGAAGAUAAUGACGGUACCUGGAGAAGCAGCUGCGGCUAACUACGUGCCAGCAGCCGCGGUAAUACGUAGGCAGCGAGCGUUGUUCGGAGUUACUGGGCGUAAAGGGUGUGUAGGCGGUUCUUUAAGUUUGGUGUGAAAUCUCCCGGCUCAACCGGGAGGGUGCGCCGAAUACUGAGGGACUAGAGUGCGGGAGAGGAAAGUGGAAUUCCUGGUGUAGCGGUGAAAUGCGUAGAUAUCAGGAGGAACACCGGUGGUGUAGACGGCUUUCUGGACCGUAACUGACGCUGAGACACGAAAGCGUGGGUAGCAAACAGGAUUAGAUACCCUAGUAGUCC
rnacentral:rRNA from 1 species